rnacentral:rRNA from 1 species
GUGAGGAAUAUUGGACAAUGGGCGCAAGCCUGAUCCAGCCAUGCCGCGUGCAGGAAGACGCAUCUAUGGUGUGUAAACUGCUUUUGUACGGGAAGAAACACUCCCUCGUGAGGGAGCUUGACGGUACCGUAAGAAUAAGGAUCGGCUAACUCCGUGCCAGCAGCCGCGGUAAUACGGAGGAUCCAAGCGUUAUCCGGAAUCAUUGGGUUUAAAGGGUCCGUAGGCGGUUUAAUAAGUCAGUGGUGAAAGACCAUCGCUCAACGAUGGAACGGCCAUUGAUACUGUUAGACUUGAAUUACAAGGAAGUAACUAGAAUAUGUAGUGUAGCGGUGAAAUGCUUAGAUAUUACAUGGAAUACCAAUUGCGAAGGCAGGUUACUACUUGUGGAUUGACGCUGAUGGACGAAAGCGUGGGGAGCGAACAGGAUUAGAUACCCGUGUAGUCC